AUUCAGGUAGUUUAAUUUAAAAUUUCGAUUUGUGGAUUCGAUCAUACAGUUUAUUUGUUCUGGAUA
rnacentral:tRNA from 1 species